AUUCCAUGAUAAGGACAUUUUCGAAGAAGUUCCUUGAAUCUCUCACAUGCAUAUGAAACCUUUUCAUCAUCCCCUUGCUGAAACAUCAAAUUUUCAUUUCUAAAUUU